GGUGGGAGCCGGAGAGACAGCGGCCCCAGCGGAGGGGAGAAGAACUGGUGGCCAUCAAACUCCACCCAAAAUAAUAACGAUCAAAAUUCCCCCCAUUCUCGGAUUCACAAAGCCACCACAUACUACAAGGAGUCCAAACGAAUUCUAUCCCCGUGCUCCGAUCGCAGUCGUCCUUCGAUCGUGGUAGGUAUCCGGCCAUCUCUUCGAGGCGACGUCUCUCUUCGAUCUCCCCUUUCUCGGUCCGACGACGUCAGUCUCCUUCUCCGAGCAUAUUCGAUUUCAAAUUAUCCACGUCUUGACGGGGGGCAGCGCCUUCGAUUCCGCAGGU